rnacentral:rRNA from 1 species
UACGUAGGGGGCUAGCGUUGUCCGGAAUCAUUGGGCGUAAAGAGCGUGUAGGCGGCUCGGUAAGUCCGCUGUGAAAGUCGGGGGCUCAACCCUCGAAUGCCGGUGGAUACUGUCGAGCUAGAGUGCGGAAGAGGCGAGUGGAAUUCCUGGUGUAGCGGUGAAAUGCGUAGAGAUCGGGAGGAACACCAGAGGCGAAAGCGGCGACCUGGACAGGUACUGACACUCAACUACGAAAGCGUGGGGAGCAAACAGG